CCAUUCAUCUUGGACCAGUGUGAUAUUUUGUAUUAAACUCUUACACCGUUCAAUUUCUUCAAAACAAACUCUUAUGACCGAUAGUCUGACCUGACAACAUCAAAUUUGUACUGCUCAAAUCGUGUGUCUUUUUAUUAAACUCUCGGAAUUGUCAGUAAAAAAUCAUACCAGAAGAAUCAGAUCUAUUGCAAAACCUUCACCGUUAUAGAUUUAAAUUACAAAAGAGAGAUAGGAGUUCAAACAUUUCAACCUAAUACAAAAACAAUUUGGCAACCACUGAAAACUGAUUUGAAUAAACCAAGAAAUUGACGAAGAAAAAUACUAGUAGACAUCAAAAUGAACAUGUAUUCGUUAUUAAAAGCCAUUGCAGAUGUUUCGUGCUCGGGGUUGGCGUAUAUGUUGUGGGUCCGGGGAAAACAAAAAUUAAUUAAGAAAAUGUACGGAAGCCUAUUAUAAUAGUCCCAGCAUGUACCACUCCGGUAGUACCACACAAGAGUUCCUGGUCACGUCGCAAUGAACUUUUUCUCAACACGAUUAGACAACGGACGUAACGAACGGAAAAAUAGUUCCCUGAAAGACCGUACUAUUACAUCAUAUUGUUGUCAGUGGUUAACACGGGAAAACAAUGUAAAAGAGGGCUAAAAAGAUUCUAAAAAUU